UCUGCUCGGUGUUAGCAGCCCAUCCUCACAUUCUUGCCAACUCUCAACCUUUUCCCUUUAGUUUUCUCUUGAACACAAUUAAUCUUAGAAGCUUGGAAGGUUGAGUUUUUGGCACUUUGAGGAAUUUAGGAAGGAAUUUGGAUGCAAGAAAAAGAAUACCAGCAGCUAGGAUCAUUUCUUGUCAAGGGGAGUUCGAAUUCAGAGGAGGUGGUGUUGGUAUUGAUUUUGUUGGAGGAAUCAGGUUUGGUGGCUGUAUCAAGCUCAAACCUCAAUCUUAAGCCCGCAAUUUAGAUUGUAGUUUCAGAAUUGGGGUAAGUUCCUAAACACAAGCUCCAAAAUGUUAAAUAAUUGAAUCUUGAUGUGUUAGUGUCACUACACCAAAUACCCCUUUUGAUAACAUAUGAAUAUAAUACUACUGAAAAAGUAUUAUGAUACUUAUAUAUAUAUGUGGCAAAGUAAAAGAAAAAAAUGGCGGUAUAAUUAAUUUUGGGAGCCCGUGCUAUAACUUGUAAAAGUUAUAUUUUUUUCCUAAUUCUUUUUUAAUUAUAUUGUUCGACUCCUCCGUUCUUCUUCGCCUACGUUUGGCUCUGUCUUUGGCUUCUCCGUUUCUUCUCUUCCCUCCAUCCCUCAAAUCUCCUCUCUCUCUCGUCUUUCUCUAUCUCUUGGUCACUCCUUGUGGACAGGCGAGGCUAUCACUACUUCACUUUUCUCUCCCUUCUCGUCGCUAGCGUGCAUGACUGCAUCAAUCUUGGUCCCGGUAUUGAUUAUAUUCUUUAGGUUGUGGAUCGAAUUGGCAAGGAGCAUUGCAAAGUUAAUUAACUUGAUUAUUAAUUGCAAGAGGUACAGAAGUAUGUUCUCUUAACUCUUUUAUUAAUAUCAUACAAAUGUUGGAGGAGUUUGAAUAUCUUAAAUAUUCAUUCGUAGAGAAGUAGGUUAUGAGUUUAAAAUUGUGUGUUGCGGUGAUAAUGGAAGGUUGAAAACUUGUGAGUCUUAGAGAAGUAGGUUCUGGAAAUUUGUUUGUGUGUUGCGGUGUUAUAAGGAAGAAAACUUAUUGUGUGUUGUUUGAAUUUUUUUACUUGGUAUUGAUAGAUGGUUAGGUAACUUUUAUAUGGGAAAUGAUGUCAGAUUUUAUCUAUAAUUAUGUAUUAUCUUCUUACAAAUAAAUUGUGUUUGCUUGAAUUGGUUUGAUUAUAUUGAUAGAUAUCUCACUUGGGGUGUGAAUAAGGGUAGUUUUCACGUCCCCAACCUUAGGGUUUGAAUUAUAAAACAUUAUACAUAUGAGUUGUGAUUAGCUUUUUUAUAUCUAUGCUUAUGAUAUGCAGAUGGAUAAAAGUUGGAUCCAUCUUAACAGGUUAACAAAUAAAAUUAUAUAGUUUAAGUUUAAGUUUUGGUAUUUUAUUAUUGAAGCAUCCUUCAAAAUUGUAGAGCUACAAAGGAAUAUGAGAGAAAAGAUAGGGAGUUUGUGAAGACUGUAGUAAUGAAUUCUGGUUUUCCGAGUAAGAUUCUUUGUCCAUGCAACAAAUGUCAGAAUCUAAGACAUCAACUUUCAGGUGAAGUUGUAGAACACUUAGUUUUGUACGACAUGGACAAAUCAUACAAAACAUGGUUUCAUCACAGGGAAGAUCUAGUUGAAAGUAGCACGACAAAGACAAGUUCUACAUAUAAUUUAUUUCGGGCUGCUGGAGUAUGUUCAAGUAAUUUCAAUGAUUUGGAUGAUGAUAACAAUGAUGAUGAUUUUGAUAGUCUAUUAGGAGAUGUUGAAUCUCCAUUGUAUGAAGGUUGUUUGAAAUACACCAAAAAUUCAUCCAUCGUCGAGCUAUACAAUCUAAAAACAAAGCAUGGAUUCUCAGAUGUUGGCUUUUGUGAGAUAUUGGAGAUGAUCAAAGCAAUGUUGCCAAAAGAUAAUCUCCUACUAACAUCUAUGUAUGCAAUUAAUAAGUUUCUAAAGAUGUUUGAUCUGAACUAUAAGUAUAUACAUGCUUGUGUGAAUGAUUGUUGCUUGUUUACAAAAGAAAAUGCUAAUGCCCAAGUGGGUCCCACCUGUCAAUAUCCAAGAUGGAAGCAAAAUGAACACACAAAGGAGAUUCUAGAAGGGCAGCCUACAAAAUUGUUAAGAUAUUUUCCUAUUACACCAAGGUUUCAAAGGAUGUUCAGAAAUGAAGAGAAAAUUUCAUGCUUAAAGUGGCAUUCAACUAAUAAAAGAAUAGAUGGGAAAAUGAGCCAUCCAGUAGAUUCAGAGGCUUAGGAUGCAGUUAAUGAGAGAUGACUAGAUUUUUCACUUGAACCGUACAACCAUCGACUAGGACAUGCUGCUGAUGAGAUCAACCCUUACAAAAAUAUGAGUUCUACAUAUAGUUGUUGGCCAAUAAUGCUCGUUGUAUACAAUUUUCCACCUUCAUUGUGCAUGAAGAAUGAAUUCACAUUUCUAUCUAUGUUGAUUCCUGGACCAAAACAACCUGGGAAUGACAUAGAUGUUUAUUUGAAGCCCUUAAUAGACGAGUUACUAGAAUUAUGGAAAGGUGUUUAUACAUAUGAUGCUUCUACAAAGAGGUUUUUUAAUUUAAAGGUCAUGCUGUUAUGGACCAAAAUGAUUUUCCAACUUAUGAAAACUUAGUUGGAUGUGCGACUAAAGGGAAGUAUGAUUGUCCUAUAUGUGGAGAGAACUCAAAUGUUGUUUGGUUGAAGCAUAGUAAGAAGAUGUCUUUUUGUAAUCAUAUUCGAUUUCUUCCACAACAUCUCCCAUAUCGAAAGAAGAAAUAUACAACUGCUAGGGCAAGGGAAAGAGAACCACAAUGUCCAACUAUAUUAACAUGUGUUGAAGUAGCUGAGCAGUUAUGUGAAUUCACUAAUGAUUUUGGCAAGGGUAGAAAUAGGGUUCAUGGUUCAGAGUUUGAUAAAGGAUGGAAGAAAAAGCCAAUUUUUUUAGGCUCCCUUAUUGGGAAAUCUUGGUUGUUCGUCACAACUUGGAUGUUAUGCAUAUUGAAAAAAAUGUUGUGAAAGCAUUCUUAACACAUUGUUGGAUUGCAAAGGAAAAUCUAAGAUCAUUACAACUCGAGAUUAGAUUUGACAGAGAUGGGAAUUAUGACUCAUCUCCACCCAUAUGAAGAAGAAGGAAUUACUUGUCUUCCUGCUGCAGCUUACACUUUGUCAAAAUCAGAUAAGAAGUUGUUUUGUAAGAGACUAUUUGACUUGAAAUUGCCUUAAGAAUAUAGUUCUAAGAUUAGCAAUUUUGUAGAUGUGGAGAAACAUAAGCUAACAAGACUUAAAUCUCAUGAUUGUCAUGUGAUUAUGCAGCCAUUGUUAGCUAUUGCUAUAAGGGGUUUAAUGGAGGAAGGUUGCAGAGAGACAAUCCUUCGACUUUGUAGGUUUUUCCAUGAAUUGUGUCAAAGUUUGGUUGAUAAGGAGGAGAUUAUAAAAUUGGAAUUAAAAUCUGUAGAAAUUGUCUACAAACUAGAAGAAUAUUUCCUACCUUCUUUAUUUGAUCCAAUGAUUUACUUGGUUGUCCCUUUAGCGCGAGAAGUUAGACUUUGUGGUCCGGUUCAAUUUCGAUGGAUGUACCAUUUUGAGAGGUAUAUGAAAGUAUUGAAAUGAUUUGUAUCAAAUUAAGCACGACUAGAAGGAUGUAUUGCAAAUCGCUAUCCUGCUGUUGAAUGUGUACACUUUUGUGAGACCUUUUUGAAGAAUAAUGAUAAUCAAGAUAGUACUGAAAUUGAAGAAAAUCCACUAUCAGCUGGAGAAUGCUUUGAACUUGACCAAUGGGAUAUAGCAAUAGCCCACUGGUAUGUGUUAUUCAACUCAGAUAUUGUUGCACCAUUUCUCAAUAUCCAUAUGGAUGAGCUGAAAGAAAUGCACAAAAACUUGAAGGAUAAUCAAACUUUGUUAUGGAAUCGACAUUCUGAAGGAUUCCCCCUAUGGUUUUAUGAUAAGGUUACACUCUAGAGAAAAUUUACAAGUUUGCAUUUUCGAUUAGUAUAUGAAAUUUAUUUGACAUCAAUAUUUUUUUUCUUUUUAGAUUUAUAAAUCUAACAAAGUAGAUGACAUGUUAGCUCAAUUGGCUGAAGGCCCAAGUCGUAGUGUCAUUUCAUAUAAAGGUUAAAUGAUUAAUGGAAUUCAGUUUCAUAAAAGAGGUGCCAAAAAAACUACUCAAAACAGUGGUGUAUACUUGGAAUCACAUGGUAGUGGACAGUUGAAUGAUACAGAAGAGUAUUUUAGAGUUAUCAAGGAUAUAAUAAUGCUUGAUUAUCGUACCUUUAAGGUGCCUUUAUUUUGGUGCGAUUGGGCUAAUAUUCGAAAUGGUGUUAAGAAGUUGGAUUUCUAUACACUUGUAAAUUUUAAUAUAGAGCAAAAUCAGUCUAUGAGGGAUCAAUAUGUAUUAGCAUCUCAAGUUACAAAGGCAUUUUAUGCAAGAGAGAAUGCGUCAUCUAAUUGGUAUAUAGCUUUAAAGGAUUCAAAUAGAGGGUGUUUGGGGCUAGAAUAAAACAAUCUGUAUGAUUUUCAUUCAAAUUUAUGAUACUCUUAUGACUCUUUAAAUGUAAUUUUGGUAUACUUUCAAUGAAACAAAGUUGAUUUUAUUUACUCUUUGGCUGAUAUUGUGGUUCAAAUUUUAUUUAUUAAUUAUUUAUCUUAUUUAGGAAGAUAUGGAUAUGAUGCAUUUAUGAUUUCAGUUCUUAUGUUAUUUUGUUUUUUAUUGCAAUAAUUUCAAUAAAAAAUGAGUACAUUACGAAAAUCUCCGAGAAAGUAAAAAAAAAAACACCUACAGCAAGGUGCAUUAUGCAAUAUUGUUGCCCAAAAAAGAAAAAAAUCAUUAAAAAGUCAAGCUGAAAUUAUACGCGAAGACCCAAAAUCUGGAACUACAAACAAUACCGAUGAGGAUGCAUUAACAAAAUUAUUAGGUAAUCCAAAAUUUGGGCGCUUAAUCGGACAAGGAAGGGGGGGGGGGGGGGGGAGGUAACAAGGUCAAAAUUAACUGUUGUUAAUAUGUGUAAAGACAAGAUGACAUUGUUGGAAGAAGAGCAGCUAAAUAUGAAUAUUCAAAUUGCUGAAAUGUUGAAUCUACUGAAAAGAUACUUGGGCAGUAGAGCAACAACAAGUGAGGGGCAGUCCCACAAUAUUCCACAAUCCAACAAUAUUCCUUCUCCUAAGAGUGUUGGAGUUAAAAAGGGCCAUAACUUUACAGAAGCAAGGAACGCUUGCUACUUGCUCAAUUGUUCAGAUGCAAUUAUUGCUGAAAGCCGUUGGGAUUCUAGUGAUCCUGACUUAGAGAUUCAACAAGUGAAGUGCAAAAGAAAAUCUGAUUUGGAAGGCUUUGUUGUGUUGACAUUUGGAAGAUCAUGAAUUCCUACCUUAUUUACUUUUGAAUAUGCAACUGUUUAAGACUAUUUUGUUGACUAUUGUGAGAAUGUUUUGUUUAUGUUAAUUAGGCAGUGUUGAAUAUCUUAAGACUUUUGGAUUCUUUUUUAGAUAAUCUUGAAUGUAUUUUGACACAAUUAUUUGGUUAUACGUGUUAUGAACCAUAUAAUUGGUACUCAAAAAUAUAUUUGUACAAUGUAAAGGGUGUCUUAAGUAUAUUAAAUGAAGUGGGUUUGAAUUAAAGCAAUAAAAAAUAAUUAUAAUG